UCUUCUUCCAUUCUUCCAUCCAUAGCGCCAGAUCUUCGUCCUCUUCGUUCAGACUUUAGCCAUCUUCUUCGUUCAGCAUCUUCUUCAACGAUCGUUCUUCCUUCUUCGUUCCGUAAUCCAUCCUCUUCGUUCAGACAAACUUUUUCCUCUUGGGUUGAACGAUUUCAACCGGUCAUCUUCUUCCGUAAUCUGUCCGUUGGGUUGAACGAUUUCAGUCGGUCAUCUUUUUCCUCUUCGUUCAGAUAAACUUCAGCAAUCUUCUUCCUCUUCAUUCAGACAAACUUCAGCGAACGUUCAGCCGGUCGUUACUUGCAGUUCUGUAUCGUUCUCUUCUUCUUGCUACAUGGAUUCAACGGAUAUGGAAUUUGAUGGAACUCCAACUGAUGCUUCAAAAAAUGAACGAGAUACAAAAACGGGAUGCCAAUAUAAAUAUCGUUGAUGUUGAUUCAGCAAAUGAGACAUCAGAUGUUCCAAAUCCACCAAAAAGAAGGAAGGUUGUGAAAAAAUCCAUGAUUUGGGAUCAUUUUGAGAGGCUAAAAGGUGAUCCUAAAGACCCUCAUGCUCAAUAUAAGUAUUAUAGAGUUGUCUAUGCAUGUCAUUCUAAACGUAAUAGUACUGAAACUAUGAAGAAUCAUUUGAAAAAUUGUAAAAAAUACCCUUACUAGAAAAAGAGAUCUAACCCAAAUGACAUUAGCUUUCAAAAUUAAAGACAAAAACAAUGUUGGGGAUAAUAUGUCGCAACUUGUAUGUGAGUCAUAUAGUUUAGAGAGUUUUCGGGAAGCGUUGGUUGAAAUGGUAAUUGUUGAUGAAUUGCCAUUCAAGUUUGUGGAGGGUAAAGGAUUUAAGAAAUUUGUCGAUAGAUUAACAUGUGCAAGUCAACCUAGAUUUGUUGUUCCAUCUCGGUUUACUGUGGCUACAGAUGUGCUUAAGUUGUAUGUUAAUGAGAAAAAGCGUUUGAAAUACAUGUUUGUUAACAAGAAGUAUAAAGUUUCUCUCACUACGGAUUGUUGGACAUCAAGACAAAAUAUAAAUUACAUGGUACUAACUGUCAAUUUCAUAGAUUUUGAUUGGAGAUUACAUAUAAGGAUACUUAGUUUUUGUCCAAUUGAGAAUCAUAAAGGUGAUGUUAUUGGUAAAACCAUUGAAAAGAAUUUGAAGGAUUGGGGCAUUGAAAGGGUAAUGACUUUAAUGGUUGAUAAUGCAAGUUUGAAUGAUACUGCCAUUGCUUAUCUUCUGAAAAGAUUUAAUAAGGGAUUAUUGUUUGGUGGAGAAUUUCUGCAUGUUCGUUGUUGUGCUCAUAUAUUAAAUCUCAUAAUAUGUGAUGAUUUUAAUGAACAUAAUGAUUGCAUUGAAAGGAUUCGAUAUGUUGUACGAUUUAGAAGAUCUUCUUUUGCACAUUUUUUGAAAUUUAAAAAGUGCAUUGAAAUUGAAAAAAUUUCUUGUAAGAGUUAUGUAUGUCUUGAUGUUCCCACUAGAUGGAACUCUACAUAUUUGAUGCUUGAGGAGCUGUGAGGUUUGAAAAGGCUUUUGAUAGAUUAGAAGAUGAAGAUGCUUCUUAUAGACACGAUUUGUCACCAAAUAAAGAAGAUUGGACAAAUGCUAAGAUGUUGAUUAGGUUUUUAAAGGUCUUUUAUGAUGUGACGUUGAAAAUUUCAGGGUCUUUGUACACCACUUUGAAUAUGGUUUUUCAUCAGAUUACAAUGGUUCAGAAUUGUAUACGUUUGAAUAUUGGUAGUGCAAAUGCAAUGCUAGUUGGAAUGGCCAAUAACAUGAAGGCCAAAUUUGAGAAGUAUUGGGGGAACAAUGAAAAAAAUAAUCUAUUGUUGUAUGUUGUUAUUGUGCUAGAUCCUCAAAAAGAGUUAAGGUUUGUAUCUUUUUGCCUUAAAUUUUUUUUUUUUUUUUUUUUUUUUGGGGCCAGAGGUUCCCAAAUCUAUGGGAAAUGUAGUGGAGCAAUGUUGUAAACUCUCUUUCAUGAGUAUAGUACUACUCAGAGUGGGAGGGGGAGUGGGAUUGGGAAUAGUACUACUAAUACACCAAUUGUCUCAGCCUCAGAGACCAUGAUUGAUUGUGAUCCAACUGAAAAUGUGGGUAAAGACUUUGUCUAUGAUACAAUUGAUAUGGAUUUUGAAGGCAAUGAGACUACACCUUUCGAACAGGGGUUAGAGAUUGAUAUUUAUUUGUUGGAAGCUAAUGUUAAGAAUGAAGGUGAUUUUGACAUACUUCAAUGGUGGAAGAUGAACAGUCAUCGGUUUGAGGUUUUUAGUCGUAUGGCUAGAGAUAUUUUGGCAAUUCCAGUAUCUACUAUAGCGUCUGAGUCAACUUUUAGUACAUGAGGACGUGUUGUUGAUUCAUCACAUUGUUCAUUGACUCCGAAAACAGUGGAGGCUCUCAUUUAUACUCAAAAUUGGCUAAAUUCAGGUCCAAUAGAUCUUGAAGUUCAACAUAACGUGGAAGAAGCUUCAUUAUUUGAAGAAGGAUUCAGAGCGGUUAUGGACAAUAAAAAAAAGAUUCAAGACCUUUCAUAUUUUGAAAAGUUGUCAGUUACCGAUUAAGUAUUUAUCAUUUGAUUUUAUUGUAAU